rnacentral:lncRNA from 1 species
UUGCAGGUGACAUCACCAUGCCAAGCCGCGCCCCCCCCCGAGCUGAGGAGGAACACGGCCCCCGUGCGCCGCAGCGAGCAUCUGGGCUCCACCAAGUCCCUGAGCAGCGCCCGGCAGCACAGCACCCUGCCCAGGACCCUGAGCGUGGCGGCGGUGCUGGAGCGCGCGGCGGAGCUGGACCUGAGCUACGUGACCGAGCGGGUGCUGGCGCUCAGCUUCCCCCCGGCGCUGGACGAGCGGCGCCUCCGCGGGCACCUGCGCGACGUGGCCCAGAUGCUGCGCUCCAGGCACCGCGAGCGCUACGCCGUACGGCGCGGGCACGGGCACGGGGCGGUGGGGACGGAGCGCUCGGCGUGCUCGGGGGCAGGCAUGGGGUCACGGGGGACAGCCAUGGGGUGCUUGGGGACAGGGUGCUCGGUGACAGGGCACGGGAUGGGGAUGGGGCACGUAGUGACUGGGGACAGGGCGGGGGGUGAUUGGGGACGGGGUGCUUGGGGUGACUGGGGUGA